AAAUGGUAUUCACAGAGCUUCGUAAAUAUUCGAGAGAAAUUAUUCGAGAGAGUUUUUUUGGCGCCAAAUGAGACGUCUCGUAAAGUGCCUUCUUCUCACAUUUUAUCGAGAAUCGGUAUUCACGAAAGUUCUUUAACCGCUGAAGAGCUCGCUAGCUAACGAGAACAAUCUUCGCCUCGUUAACAGUUCGGAUUGCUCUCAGCAGUGAUUCAAAUUAAAAUAGGCUCGUUGGGACGUUAGCAUACUUUGUAAAAAUUGGCAUAGUAUCAAGGGGCCUUACUCAGCACUGGCCUACAGUAUUAUGAACACAGAUUCACAAAUGGCUACCUAUAUUGAAGCUUGCAGAAGAAAAGUCCAACAAUCUCUCCAUGUCGUAUCCGAAA